ACAAAAUCAAAAGAAGAAAUCUGGUAAAUACAACCUCUAUAGGUUUUUACUUUUUGAUAGAUUUCAAUCAGAACAGGCGGGUGGGUGAAGGAGAGCGUAUGUAUAUUUGCAUGUGUUUCAUGGUUAUGAGAAUAACCUUACAGUCUGACAGCAUCGACACAGAAGAGGAACAACGAAGAGAAUCAACAUUUCCAAACUGUUUUGUUUUAAAUGUGGACCUAUACAGUUCCUAUGGUUCUAUACUUAGGAAAACACAUUCUCUCUUUUGUUAAUGAACGUAUCCAGACCCUCCAUCCAGAAAAGGAAUGGCUGCAGUAAGUGGCGACUACCCGCGUAGCACAUUCUCCUUCCAAGAACAUUACUGCAAGAUGCACCAGGCGAAGCCUCAGCCAGAGCCCUAAAAUGAGCUCCCUCCCUCGCCAGGGGGUUCAGGCACUCCCAGGACAACUCCCACUCUGUGGCAGAUGGUUGGUUCCCAUUGCAUCAACAAACAAGGAAACCAAGCUGAAAGAAGAGGCACAAGUUGUUUCAUCUGAGACUAAAAAAAAAGCUAGACAGGAGGCAACAGAUGAUGUGAGUGAUACUGAUGAGUCAAAAGGCGCAGUCAGCGGCAGAGUGUGCGCUUCGUCCCGGAGACAAGAGAAUCAACGGAGAGAAUGUUACGUCAACCACUAAUUUGUUAAUUAAUUUUACAGAAAGGCAUCUAUGUCUCCUUACCCUCCCCCCACAAUGGCAUUUCCUCAUUCCACUGUACACUGACGUGGAGAAUUUUUCAAAAACACAAAUCUUGUAUAGUUCCUGACUAUUCACUCAAGCGGUCCGGGUUAUUUUUAUUUUUAUUUUUUUUGUCUCAAUGGAUCUGAACCAGAGCUUCAUGUUUGUCAGUGGGUCUCUGGCCUCCUUAUGAGAGGGAAUUACUCGUUACACCACCAUCCCCCACCCCUACAAGUAUGCUGUUCACAGUGAAGUCCAUCAUCAGUGUAGGGAGUGGGACCCGGCCGGGGUCAUUGGCUGAAAUCCUGCUGCCACUAGAAAUCAAGAAAAACACACAAGAGAAAUAGAGAAUGAUGAGUGGCUGAAAUAUCUACUGGGAAGAUAUUUAAAAUCCUCGGAAAUGUCGAGAGUAGGGCUGUGAACCCUAUGUUAGGACAAAGUAAUUCACAUCGCAUAAUCAUAAAGAGAUCAUCUGGUCCAUUGUUUUUAAAAUUAUUUCUUAGCAGAUUCUGUUCUCAAGCAAAAUCUUAGGCAGGCUUCUAAUACCACAAAAGGAAUAGUGAAGAUAAAGGAAGAGCUGCUCAUACUGGGAAUAUCCCAGCAUAGAUUAUUCUACAUGGUUCUAAGACAUUUCUAAUUCAAAACGGCAAGACUAAAGAGCAAAGAGUUUGCAAGAAUGUGAAUUUGCUGUUCAGUAAUUGAGCUCACUGAAAACAAAAGUGCAGCUACAACCCAAUCUCUUUUCAGAGCACAUUGGAAUGGGGUUCUUUCUAGCACUCAGUAUGUUCACAACAACUGUUCAGUGAAGUAUGGGGUACAUGGAAAAAUCUACAUUGCAGUUUAGAAAACUUCCCAGUGAAUGGUCGAAUUCAAACACCAUAUGUCAAACCAUUCACUUUUAUUGAUCAAGACAGGUUGUUCUCGUAGAGGGAAGGCUUAAUUUAAUGACUCUGGAUAACAGGUGGCUUGGUUCAUAUGUUGAUAACUAUAGAUAAUGUGCUCUUGUUUUUUAUAGUAGUACACACAUCUUUCGGGACUGGAAGCCCCAAAUAACAAAAUGCCUCAUUCACCAGCCUCUUUGCCUAUCAUCACCAUCACCCGCCUCUUCCUGGUCAUACCUGAGAAACUUCUCCUAGUCAAGGUACUAUGGUCAGUGCCGACAGGGCUUCCACGAGCUCCUCCCAGAGUGACACCGUCUGUCUAUGUGAAUCAGAGAAGGCUCUUCCUUUUCCAGUACUAUGGAAUAAUUACGAGGGAUGCAUUGAAUCCUAGCAGCAUGGGCUGUCCUCAGUAGGAUGAUGCUGUGCAUGAUGGAAAGUCACUAUACCACUUAAGAGGAGCAGUUGCUGAGCCCUCAUCCUUUACCAGCCCUCCACUGCUCUUUCCCAUCAUAGCCUCAGGGUGACUAUGAAGGGGCAGCAGGAGGAGACCUUUCUGUUGAGGGCAUAGUUCUGCACAGGAAUCUACACAUCUUGUAGGAUGGCACGGGACUACACACAUUGUAGCAAUAUGAAUUUCCUGGUUUUAAUAUUGCAAUGUUGUUCCACAACACGUAACCACAGAGGGAAGCCGCAAAGUGGAUUAGAGAUCUCUCCAUAUUAGUUUUGCAUUUUCCUGUUAAUCUAUAAUCAUGUCAAAAUAAAAGGUUUUCUUUAAAAAAAAAAAAAAGCCCUGGAAUCUCUUUUUUUUGUUGGGAUUUGGUCCUUCUCCUUGUCUUUAUCCUGGGUACAUCACCUCUGUAGCACAGGGUUGCAGGGUAAGAGCAGUCAACCAGGCUCUAGAACUAGAGUUGGGAAGGGCACUGG
rnacentral:lncRNA from 1 species